UAAAUGUUAAAGGCCACCGGUUUUGAACCGGUGGAAAUUCUUUUUAUAAAAAACCCGGUCAUAUUUUCUUUUUCAUAUAUAAACCCCUUUUACUUCCCAAACCCUAGCCUCUUCUUCUCUUCUCUGAUCUCGUCCCCUCCCUCAUCUUCUCUCUCUUCUCUCAUUCUCUGAUCUCUUCUCUUGUCCCCUCCCUCCCUCUUCUCUUUCCUCUCUUUAGAUCUCUUCUCUCGUACCGCCGUUCAUUCCACCCCGCCACCGUUCUUUCCUCUAUCAUUCUUCUCCACCUUACCGUCGUUCAUUCCACAUUGCCGCCGCCGUUCUUUCAUUUCUCUCUUUUGCGACGAGGUGAGGGGUCUAUUUCUUCACCGGCGCCACAUCUUUGCAGUGGUGGUGGAUCUCUUCACGAAGGUAUGUGCUCUUCGCCUCUUCGAUUUAAAAUAUAGGGUUUCUGAUUUUUAUUUAACUUUUUUUUUUGUGAUUUUUAUGUUGCGAUGAGGUCGAUGAACAUGGUGAACAUGUUGUUCUCGAGUCCUCCAAGGUUAUGAUGGUUACAGUGGUCGUGAUCCAUCUCUCUAUCUCUUCUCGAGUCCUCUGCUUUAGAUCUUGGUUAUUGUGAUAUGGAUUCAACAAUGCUGGCUUGCAUUGCGUUCUCCUGCCCCAAUCUAGAAACCAUGGAGAUCUCUAUGUCAGAGUCAUCAAUUAACCGUAUAUCUGGGUGGCUGUUGGAAGAUGUUAUCUAUAUGCAAGGCUGCUGCUGUCUCGCCAAGGCUCGCUGUUGCAGUUGCUGCCUCGCCACGUGUUACAUUGGUGAUUUUGUGUGACUUGUAUUUAACAGUGACUUGUAUUUUUUUUUUUGGACCAAAAUUGUAAUAUUACAGCCUUAUUUUAAUGAAAAUAUGUAAGUU